rnacentral:rRNA from 1 species
CCUACGGGUGGCAGCAGUGAGGAAUAUUGGUCAAUGGACGAGAGUCUGAACCAGCCAAGUAGCGUGAAGGAUGACUGCCCUAUGGGUUGUAAACUUCUUUUAUAAAGGAAUAAAACGAGGCACGUGUGCCUUUUUGCAUGUACUUUAUGAAUAAGGAUCGGCUAACUCUGUGCCAGCAGCCGCGGUAAUACGGAUGAUCCGAGCGUUAUCCGGAUUUAUUGGGUUUAAAGGGAGCGUAGAUGGGUUGUUAAGUCAGUUGUGAAAGUUUGCGGCUCAACCGUAAAAUUGCAAUUGAUACUGGCAGUCUUGAGUACAGUUGAGGUAGGCGGAAUUCGUGGUGUAGCGGUGAAAUGCGUAGAUAUCACGAAGAACACCGAUUGCGAAGGCAGCUUACUAAACUGUGACUGACAUUGAGGCUCGAAAGUGUGGGUAGCAAACAGGAUUAGAUACCCUAGUAGUC